rnacentral:misc_RNA from 1 species
GAUGAAGAACGUAGCGAAACGCGAUAGGUAAUGUGAAUUGCAGAAUUCAGUGAAUCAUCGAAUCUUUGAACGCACAUUGCGCCCGCCAGUAUUCUGGCGGGCAUGCCUGUUCGAGCGUCAUUUCAACCAUCAAGCCCCCCGGCUUGUGUUGGGGACCUGCGGCUGCCGCAGGCCCUGAAAACCAGUGGCGGGCUCGCUAGUCACUCCGAGCGUAGUAAUACAUCUCGCUCAGGGCGUGCUGCGGGUUCCGGCCGUUAAAAGCCUUAUUUACCCAAGGUUGACCUCGGAUCAGGUAGGAAGACCCGCUGAACUUAAGCAUAUCAAUAAGCGGAGGA